UUCGUGUUGGUUUACUUUGUUCUUAUGUAUUAAUUUACGUGUUUAAAUAUGAGUAAAACUAUGGAGUUCGAGAGAUAUUGUUCUGCAUGAUAUCCAAAUUCCAAGAAAAAGAAGCUGAAUUCUACCAAAAAGAACAUUGUUUACGUAUGGUGUUGAAUUUCUUGGUUUAGUAUGAUUUAUUGUCUUAAUACUUCAUGCAAUGACUCAUUUUUAUUUCUAUUAUAUAUUUUUUCGGAAUAAUUAACAGGUAUAAUAGCCUAAACUUUGUUUUAUAUGAUGGAAUAUUUCGUUUCUUUCGCAGGAAAUCUGGAGGAUGUAGAAGGAGUGGAUGCAAUAGUAGAGAACUAUUGGUGUAAGUGUAAUAUCAAUACACAGAAUAAAAAAAGAAGGGGCAACAAAUCAAGGUGUCUGGAGUACACC